AUUGAACGCUGGCGGCAGGCCUAACACAUGCAAGUCGAACGAGUGGCGGAAGGGUGAGUAAUGUCUGGGAAACUGCCUGCUGGAGGGGGAUAACUACUGGAAACGGUAGCUAAUACCGCAUACCAUCAGAUGUGCCCAGGUGGGAGUAGCUUGUUGGGGGGGUAAAGGCGCACCAAGGCGACGAUCACUAGCUGGUCUGAGAGGAUGAACAGUCAGACUGGAACGGAGACACGGUCCAGACUCCUACGGGAGGCAGCAGGGGGGAAUAUUGCACAAUGGGCGCAAGCCUGAUGCAGCCAUGCCGCGUGUAUGAAGAAGGCCUUCGGGUUGUAAAGUACUUGCAGCUGGGAGGCGUUACCCACAGAAGAAGCACCGGCUAACUCCGUGCCAGCAGCCGCGGUAAUUC
rnacentral:rRNA from 1 species